rnacentral:rRNA from 1 species
GACGAACGCUGGCGGCGUGCUUAACACAUGCAAGUCGAACGGAAAGGCCCUGCUUUUGUGGGGUGCUCGAGUGGCGAACGGGUGAGUAACACGUGAGUAACCUGCCCUUGACUUUGGGAUAACUUCAGGAAACUGGGGCUAAUACCGGAUAGGAGCUCCUGCUGCAUGGUGGGGGUUGGAAAGUUUCGGCGGUUGGGGAUGGACUCGCGGCUUAUCAGCUUGUUGGUGGGGUAGUGGCUUACCAAGGCUUUGACGGGUAGCCGGCCUGAGAGGGUGACCGGGCACAUUGGGACUGAGAUACGGCCCAGACUCCUACGGGAGGCAGCAGUGGGGAAUAUUGCACAAUGGGCGGAAGCCUGAUGCAGCAACGCCGCGUGCGGGAUGACGGCCUUCGGGUUGUAAACCGCUUUCGCCUGUGACGAAGCGUGAGUGACGGUAAUGGGUAAAGAAGCACCGGCUAACUACGUG